CUACGGGCGGCACCAGUGGGGAAUAUUGCACAAUGGGCGCAAGCCUGAUGCAGCCAUGCCGCGUGUAUGAAGAAGGCCUUCGGGUUGUAAAGUACUUUCAGCGGGGAGGAAGGGAGUAAAGUUAAUACCUUUGCUCAUUGACGUUACCCGCAGAAGAAGCACCGGCUAACUCGCGUGCCAGCAGCCGCGGUAAUACGGAGGGUGCAAGCGUUAAUCGGAAUUACUGGGCGUAAAGCGCACGCAGGCGGUUUGUUAAGUCAGAUGUGAAAUCCCCGGGCUCAACCUGGGAACUGCAUCUGAUACUGGCAAGCUUGAGUCUCGUAGAGGGGGGUAGAAUUCCAGGUGUAGCGGUGAAAUGCGUAGAGAUCUGGAGGAAUACCGGUGGCGAAGGCGGCCCCCUGGACGAAGACUGACGCUCAGGUGCGAAAGCGUGGGGAGCAAACAGGAUUAGAUACCCGCGUAGUC
rnacentral:rRNA from 1 species